rnacentral:rRNA from 1 species
AACGAACGCUGGCGGCAUGCCUAACACAUGCAAGUCGAACGAGACCUUCGGGUCUAGUGGCGCACGUGUGCGUAACGCGUGGGAACCUGCCCUUAGGUUCGGAAUAACUCCCCGAAAGGGGUGCUAAUACCGGAUAAUGUCUUCGGACCAAAGAUUUAUCGCCUUUGGAUGGGCCCGCGUUGGAUUAGCUAGUUGGUAGGGUAAAAGCCUACCAAGGCGACGAUCCAUAGCUGGUCUGAGAGGAUGAUCAGCAACACUGGGACUGAGACACGGCCCAGAAUCCUACGGGAGGCAGCAGUGGGGAAUAUUGGACAAUGGGCGAAAGCCUGAUACAGCAAUGCCGCGUGAGUGAUGAAGGCCUUAGGGUUGUAAAGCUCUUUGACCCGGGAUGAUAAUGACAGUACCGGGAGAAUAAGCACCGGCUAACUACGUG